rnacentral:rRNA from 1 species
AGAGUUUGAUCCUGGCUCAGGAUGAACGCUAGCUACAGGCUUAACACAUGCAAGUCGAGGGGCAGCAUGGACCCAGCUUUGCUGGGUUUGAUGGCGACCGGCGCACGGGUGAGUAACGCGUAUCCAACCUGCCCUUUACUCCGGGAUAGUCUCCUGAAAGGGAGUUUAAUACCGGAUGUGUUUGUCUUUCCGCAUGGGAGCGACAAAUAAAGAUUAAUUGGUAAAGGAUGGGGAUGCGUCCCAUUAGCUUGUUGGCGGGGUAACGGCCCACCAAGGCGACGAUGGGUAGGGGUUCUGAGAGGAAGGUCCCCCACAUUGGAACUGAGACACGGUCCAAACUCCUACGGGAGGCAGCAGUGAGGAAUAUUGGUCAAUGGGCGGGAGCCUGAACCAGCCAAGUAGCGUGAAGGACGACGGCCCUACGGGUUGUAAACUUCUUUUAUAAGGGAAUAAAGUUCGCCACGUGUGGUGUUUUGUAUGUACCUUAUGAAUAAGCAUCGGCUAAUUCCGUGCCAGCAGCCGCGGUAAUACGGAAGAUGCGAGCGUUAUCCGGAUUUAUUGGGUUUAAAGGGAGCGUAGGCGGGCUUUUAAGUCAGCGGUCAAAUGUCGUGGCUCAACCAUGUCAAGCCGUUGAAACUGUAAGCCUUGAGUCUGCACAGGGCACAUGGAAUUCGUGGUGUAGCGGUGAAAUGCUUAGAUAUCACGAAGAACUCCGAUCGCGAAGGCAUUGUGCCGGGGCAUAACUGACGCUGAGGCUCGAAAGUGCGGGUAUCAAACAGGAUUAGAUACCCUGGUAGUCCGCACGGUAAACGAUGAAUGCUCGCUAUGGGCGAUAUAUUGUCCGUGGCCAAGCGAAAGCGUUAAGCAUUCCACCUGGGGAGUACGCCGGCAACGGUGAAACUCAAAGGAAUUGACGGGGGC